ACUCAAAUGAAUUGACGGGGGCCCGCACAAGCAGUGGAGCAUGUGGUUUAAUUCGAAGCAACGCGAAGAACCUUACCAGGUCUUGACAUCCCUUUGACCGAUCUAGAGAUAGAUUUUCCCUUCGGGGCAGAGGAGACAGGUGGUGCAUGGUUGUCGUCAGCUCGUGUCGUGAGAUGUUGGGUUAAGUCCCGCAACGAGCGCAACCCUUGAUCUUAGUUGCCAGCAUUCAGUUGGGCACUCUAAGGUGACUGCCGGUGACAAACCGGAGGAAGGUGGGGAUGACGUCAAAUCAUCAUGCCCCUUAUGACCUGGGCUACACACGUGCUACAAUGGCUGGUACAGAGGGCAGCAAGACCGCGAGGUUAAGCGAAUCCCUUAAAGCCAGUCUCAGUUCGGAUCGUAGGCUGCAACUCGCCUACGUGAAGUCGGAAUUGCUAGUAAUCGCGGAUCAGCAUGCCGCGGUGAAUACGUUCCCGGGCCUUGUACACACCGCCCGU
rnacentral:rRNA from 1 species